rnacentral:tRNA from 1 species
GACCUCAUAGCUCAGCUGGUAGGGCUUGCGCUGUCCAAAAGCGUAGGUGGUGCCCAUGUGUGGGUUCGAAUCUCACCGAGGCCA